GAGAGUUAAACAGUACGUGAAAUUGUUGAAAGGGAAACGAUUGAAGUCAGUCAUACCAACGGGAAAUCAACCUUUUGAGCUCGGUCUCGUGGGUUUUGAAGAGUUUCAAAGCCUUCGGAUUCGCGAGAUUGGGAUCUCUUGGCGUACUUUCUCGUACGGUUAGUCAACAUCGGUUUUGAAUGUCAUAAAAUGACUGGAGGAAUGUAGCUUCGAUCUCGUAUUGAAGUGUUAUAGCCUUUGGUAGAUGUGAUGUUUGAGACCGAGGAUUGCAACGGAUACCCUUCAGGGCUAUUCGUCUGAUCUCUGAUACGUUGCCUUGAUGUUGAAAGCUUGCUUAUGAUGUUAGGGUAUUACGGUCAAAAGGUUAGAACGAAUUACAUUCGUUAAGGAUGUUGACGUAAUGACUUUAAACGA
rnacentral:rRNA from 1 species